rnacentral:rRNA from 1 species
GAUGAACGCUAGCGGCAGGCUUAAUACAUGCAAGUCAAGGGGGUAGCAAUACAACCGGCGCACGGGUGAGUAACGCGUACACAACAUACCAUAUACUGGGGUAUAGCUUUGGGAAACUGAAGGUAAUCCCCCAUAACAUUGCGAGAGGGCAUCUGAUUGCAAUUAAAGUUUCGGCGGUAUAUGAUUGGUGUGCGUUUGAUUAGCUAGUUGGUAGGGUAACGGCCUACCAAGGCGACGAUCAAUAGCUGGCGUGAGAGCGCGACCAGCCACACUGGAACUGAGACACGGUCCAGACUCCUACGGGAGGCAGCAGUAGGGAAUAUUGGACAAUGGAGGAAACUCUGAUCCAGCCAUGCCGCGUGAUAGAUGAAGGCCCUCUGGGUUGUAAAUAUCUUUUAUCUGGGAAGAAACACUCCUAUUCUUAGGAACUUGACGGUACCAGAGGAAUAAGCACCGGCUAACUCCGUG